rnacentral:rRNA from 1 species
CCUACGGGAGGCAGCAGUGGGGAAUUUUGGACAAUGGGCGAAAGCCUGAUCCAGCAAUGCCGCGUGAGUGAAGAAGGCCUUCGGGUUGUAAAGCUCUUUUGUCAGGGAAGAAACGGUGAAAGCUAAUAUCUUUUGCUAAUGACGGUACCUGAAGAAUAAGCACCGGCUAACUACGUGCCAGCAGCCGCGGUAAUACGUAGGGUGCAAGCGUUAAUCGGAAUUACUGGGCGUAAAGCGUGCGCAGGCGGUUUUGUAAGUCUGAUGUGAAAUCCCCGGGCUCAACCUGGGAAUUGCAUUGGAGACUGCAAGGCUAGAAUCUGGCAGAGGGGGGUAGAAUUCCACGUGUAGCAGUGAAAUGCGUAGAUAUGUGGAGGAACACCGAUGGCGAAGGCAGCCCCCUGGGUCAAGAUUGACGCUCAUGCACGAAAGCGUGGGGAGCAAACAGGAUUAGAUACCCUGGUAGUCCACGCCCUAAACGAUGUCUACUAGUUGUCGGGUCUUAAUUGACUUGGUAACGCAGCUACGCGUGAGUAGACCGCCGUCGGGAGGUACGGUCGCGAGAGUUAAACGUUAAAGUAGUAGUUAGUACGGCGUGAGACGUAGACCGACGGACGACGACGAGGGAGGAGG